UACGCAGGGGGCUAGCGUUGUUCGGAAUUACUGGGCGUAAAGGGUGUGUAGGUGGUUUAGUACGUCCGAAGUGAAAUCCCCAGGCUCAACCUGGGAAUUGCUUUUGAGACUACUAGACUUGAGUACAGGAGAGGUGAGUGGAAUUCCCAGUGUAGAGGUAAAAUUCGUAGAUAUUGGGAGGAACACCAGUGGCGAAGGCGGCUCACUGGCCUGUAACUGACACUGAGACACGAAAGCGUGGGGAGCAAACAGG
rnacentral:rRNA from 1 species